rnacentral:rRNA from 1 species
UACGGAGGAUCCAAGCGUUAUCCGGAUUUAUUGGGUUUAAAGGGUGCGUAGGUGGCCUAUUAAGUCAGGGGUGAAAGACGGUAGCUCAACUAUCGCAGUGCCUUUGAUACUGAUGGGCUUGAAUGAACUAGAGGUAGGCGGAAUGAGACAAGUAGCGGUGAAAUGCAUAGAUAUGUCUCAGAACACCGAUUGCGAAGGCAGCUUACUAUGGUUUAAUUGACGCUGAGGCACGAAAGCGUGGGGAUCAAACAGG